rnacentral:piRNA from 1 species
UAACCUAAAGAAGUUGGACUUCCAUGAAAUC